AAAGUCGUAACAAGGUUUCCGUAGGUGAACCUGCGGAAGGAUCAUUAUCAAUCCCUUGAACAGUUGAGCAACCCUCAGCUAGGAUAGGUUUGACACUGCCCUUGUCUUUUGUGCACUCAUGUUUCCUCGGCAGGCUUGCCUGCCGAUUGGACAAACUAUAACCUUUUUCAAUCUUCAAUCAGCGUCUGAAUAAUUUUUAAUAAUUACAACUUUCAACAACGGAUCUCUUGGUUCUG
rnacentral:misc_RNA from 1 species